rnacentral:rRNA from 1 species
GAUGAACGCUGGCCGCGUGCUUAACACAUGCAAGUCGAACGAUGAAGCCCAGCUUGCUGGGUGGAUUAGUGGCGAACGGGUGAGUAACACGUGAGUAACCUGCCCUUAACUCUGGGAUAAGCCUGGGAAACUGGGUCUAAUACCGGAUAGGAGCGCCUACCGCAUGGUGGGUGUUGGAAAGAUUUAUCGGUUUUGGAUGGACUCGCGGCCUAUCAGCUUGUUGGUGAGGUAAUGGCUCACCAAGGCGACGACGGGUAGCCGGCCUGAGAGGGUGACCGGCCACACUGGGACUGAGACACGGCCCAGACUCCUACGGGAGGCAGCAGUGGGGAAUAUUGCACAAUGGGCGAAAGCCUGAUGCAGCGACGCCGCGUGAGGGAUGACGGCCUUCGGGUUGUAAACCUCUUUCAGUAGGGAAGAAGCGAAAGUGACGGUACCUGCAGAAGAAGCACCGGCUAACUACGUG